AUGUAUCACUGUGAUGGCUAUGGCUCUUUUGACUACUGGGGAAAAGGAACAACAGUGACUGUAACAUCAGCCACUCCUCAGGCUCCUCAUGUGUUUCCUCUGAUACCAUGUGGCUCUCCAAGUGGAGACACGGUCACUCUUGGCUGCAUUGCCACCGGUUUCACCCCCUCUUCAUUGAAGUUCUCGUGGAAACUCGGCACCGACAGUUUGGAAAACGUCACCCAGUACCCUUCAAUCCUGGAAAAUGACAAAUACUUGGGAAUCAGUCAGGUUCAAGUCAGCCGACAGGACUGGGACGCUAAAAAGACUUUCCAGUGUGUUGCCACUCAUCAAAGCCAGGAUAUACUUGCUGAUGUGAAAAACACAAAUGUGCUGUAUAGGUCACCGCAUCUCACAACAAGUUUUUCCCUUGAUGAGGAAAAACAACAGGCUUCUUUCUACUGCUUUGCCAAAGAUUUCUCUCCUAGGAACCACAACAUCUCUUGGGAGAAAGUUGGCAGUGACAAAACCAGCAUCCUUGAUGAAACCAGUGUUUUCUCUGAAGGAAGAAAUGACACAAAUGGAGAUACGCUGUAUUCUGCAGCAAGUCUGCUCACAGUAAACCCCACUGAUCUGACUCCUGGAGCCACAUUUACAUGUGUGUUCGAGGGGAAAGGUGUGAACAAUACUGACGUGUUGGAAAAGGCUAAUGCCACCUACAAGGAAGAAUCUUCUGGAGUCCGAGCAGAGUUUCUGAAUGAAACUGUUUGCUCCUGCAAGGAGGAGGAGAAGGAAGCAGAGGAAGAUUCCAUGGCAAACACAGCUGUGACCUUCAUCUUCCUCUUCAUCAUGACUUUGCUGUUCACUGCUGGAACCACAAUGUCCAAGAUUAAAUGAAAAUAAGAAGAACCAGGAAGAUCAGUCAUUACUUUUUUUUUUUUACUCAAUUUUAAUGUUUCUUUUUUCCAUCAAUCUAUGUAAGUAAUCACAGCUGUUUUGAAAAUUCAUUCUUUGUAUCUUUUUCUUAUUUGAAUAAAAUAGGAAAAACAUUUGCCUCCCAA